GCCCUUAGAGUUUGAUCCUGGCUCAGGAUGAACGCUGGCGGUAUGCUUUACACAUGCAAGUCGUACGAGAGUUUUUAACUCAAGUGGCGGACGGGUGAGUAACACGUAAGAAUUUGCCUUUAGGAGGGGGAUAACAACUGGAAACGAUUGCUAAUACCCCAUAUGCUUUCGAGUAAAAAGGAUUUUCCGCCUAAAGAGAAGCUUGCGGCUGAUUAGCUUGUUGGUGAGGUAAUGGCUCACCAAGGCGACGAUCAGUAUCUGGUUUGAGAGGACGGAUCAGACACACUGGAACUGAGACACGGUCCAGACUCCUACGGGAGGCAGCAGUGGGGAAUUUUCCGCAAUGGGCGAAAGCCUGACGGAGCAAUACCGCGUGAGGGAUGACGGCCUAUGGGUUGUAAACCUCUUUUUUCAGGGAGGAAUCAAUGACGUGUACCUGAAGAAUAAGCAUCGGCUAACUCCGUGCCAGCAGCCGCGGUAAGACGGAGGAUGCAAGUGUUAUCCGGAAUCACUGGGCGUAAAGCGUCUGUAGGUGGUCAAAUAAGUCAACUGUUAAAUCUUGAGGCUCAACCUCAAAAUCGCAGUCGAAACUAUUCGACUAGAGUAUAGUAGGGGUAAAGGGAAUUUCCAGUGGAGCGGUGAAAUGCGUAGAGAUUGGAAAGAACACCGAUGGCGAAGGCACUUUACUGGGCUAUUACUAACACUGAGAGACGAAAGCUAGGGUAGCAAAUGGGAUUAGAUACCCCAGUAGUCCUAGCCGUAAACAAUGGAUACUAGAUGUUGAACAGAUCGACCUGUGCAGUAUCAAAGCUAACGCGUUAAGUAUCCCGCCUGGGAAGUAUGCUCGCAAGAGUGAAACUCAAAUGAAUUGACGGGAAGGCGAAUUCUG
rnacentral:rRNA from 1 species